ACAGGGGUCAGUGGUGGAAGUGAGACCGAAAUAGACUCUGAAGUAAUAUCUGGACUUUGAAAUUGCAGCUAUUCCCAACCCCAGAACCUUUGCUGUCUUGGAACAGAUCACCACUGCAAGAGGGGAAGUUGCUACUGUGAUGAAUUCUGCCAUGUGGUACCAGACUGCUACCCAGACCACAGUGUCCUCUGCAACCCUCCUUCUCAGAUGACCAAGAUGGUGCUGCAGAUGGUGCUGAGGAUGGAGAACCCACCAAGCCCCGCUAGGAGCCACCUAGACUGGAUGUAGAGCAUGGUUCAGCGAGUUCUCCAAACCAGCCUCCCAGGAAUGCCGGUCUCCAUGGCUGUGAGGGGAAUCAAGAAGAGAGCCUGACUCCUCUCCUGAGGCCCCUUCCCCACCCUGAGCCAGCAGGAUCCACGGAGCAGAGGUCAUCUGUCCCCAGCUUGGCCCGCUGAGGCCAGCAUGGCUGGGCCCAUGAUGCUUGUCUCUCAGCUCCCAUCCUGUGUACUUCCACAUUGGUUUAACCAGAGCAAAACUGAAAUCUACAAUUGUCAUAAACACAUUUAAAUGUGCGUAGAAUCAGCCUUACAGGUUGUGAAACAUG
rnacentral:lncRNA from 1 species